GGUCUCGUUUUGGGUCAAUAUCGACGGCGUACAAUCGAUUGAAUCGUGCGAGUUUCGGAACGUACGGAAAAAUCGAACCGCUGUUAAAUAUAUAAUAUCACGGCGGAACUACGAUGUCUCUGGAAUGUUUGUUGCGGUACAGAGUAGUGUGCAGUGUAGCUGAGUGCAGGCACUAGGGCAUUCGUAGUGUUUUUUUUUUUUAAAUAAGAGGUGGGUGAGUGUGCGAGUAUCAGUGUAGUAAUAGAAAGAAAUAGUAGAGGCCGGCCAGAAGUCAAACCAACAUGAACACAAAAAUAAGAGAUGCUUGUCUGUUACACAUCGUGCCAACUACCAACAGCAGAAAACAAAAAGUGAAAGAAAAAACUUUCGUCCAGGCGAUCUACGUUCGUGGAGAGAAGAAGAAUAAGAAGAAGAAAAAAGAAGAAACGGGAGAAAACUGGAAAACCAAGAAACGGUACGAUACAAUCACACAAAAAUCGAUCACGAUCCGCAACGGAACACCAAUGAAAUAAAAAAACAUGUACCGUGGCACAGAUCUGUAUCUUACUUACAUCGAACACUGUAUUAGCAGCGCGAAGCUCGUAUCGCGAAGCGUCGAAAGUUUUUGGAGUCGUUGGGAACGGAUAUUAUGAUUUUUCUUUUUUGUUUUUUUUUGGUUUUUCUUUUUUUUUUAACUGGGCGUAAAUCGAGUUAGGGUUGACAAGAAUGUUAACUAUGGCGGGAUAUAUACGGCGCGUGGAAAGCAUAGCGGCAUAGGCAGACAUAUUUUACUGCUUAUUAUUCGAUCAAGUAAAGCUUCAUGCAUCUGAAAGAAUAAUAAAAUCAAAUCAUUACGUAGAGAGACCGUAUCGUGCGAUCGGUGCGUAACAACAUACUUCACGACUAGUUAUUAUUCGUAUUUUAAGCUACGAACGGGGCCACGCGUCCGGUUAUUAUUAUAAUUCAGCGUAUUAGAUGAGAUGAGAAUAUCGACGUGAGAUAAUUAGAAACGACGUUCGUGAGCUCGAUGGUGUCGAUUAUUGAUUGAUCACAAAAUUUCGCAUCCGAAAAGUUGGCAUUACCAAAUUUUCAUUUGCAUCGCUUCGAAAAACCAAGGGCGAUCUAAAAGAAACGUUUACUCUUCUUUUUUUCUUUGUUCGUUAAUUUCAAACGAUUUUCACGCGUACCAACGCGUUUUACAAUUAGUGUCCACGAAUUUCACGUUCCCUUUAGAUUACCUUAUCCUAAAUCUUUUUCAAUGAUCAUUACAUCUAAAUAUCAUAGAAAGCGUACCAGGACGGUGAUGUAAUUGUUAAAUGACUGAAUUAAAUAAGGACAAAUAAAGAUCUGAUGUAGAUUUUUUGAUGGUGAUUAUAUAUCGAUGUUUUUG